AUGGCCGGCAAGGAAAUCUACCACAAGAUGAAGGAUAAGGUGAAAGAUGCUUUUAGUUCAUCAGGGCCAGAAACAGGGAAAGGCAAGACAAAAUUGUCAGGCAGGCGUGUCAAGCAUGGUUACCAUCUUGUGAAGGGGAAAUCAAAUCAUCCAAUGGAGGACUACUUGGUGGCGGAGUACAGGCAAGUUGGGGAGCAUGAUUUGGGUUUGUUUGCAAUAUUUGAUGGCCACCUGGGCCACACUGUUCCAGACUUUCUGCGUGCACAUCUCUUUGAUAACAUCUUGAGCGAGCCAGAAUUCUUGAGUGACACGAAAAAUGCUAUCAGAAAAGCAUAUCUACUUACCGAUGAGAAAAUAUUGGAAAAAGCAGCUGAGUUGGGAAGAGGAGGCUCCACGGCUGUUACCGCCAUCUUAAUAAGCAGUAACGAUAGUGUGAAGCUAGUGGUCGCGAAUAUUGGAGAUUCACGAGCAGUUAUUAGCAAGAAUGGUAAAGCAGAGCAGCUUUCAGUUGAUCACGAGCCUAGCAUGGAGCGAGAAAUUAUUGAGGAAAAAGGUGGAUUUGUUUCGAACCUACCAGGAGAUGUGCCACGAGUUGAUGGGCAGCUGGCUGUUGCAAGAGCAUUCGGAGACCGGAGCUUGAAAAAGCACCUCAGCUCUGAGCCACACGUGGCUGAGGAAGUUAUCGAUGAGAGUUCAGAUUUUCUAAUUCUAGCAAGUGAUGGUUUGUGGAAGGUGAUGACCAACCAAGAGGCUGUUGAUGAGAUCAAGGACAUCAGGGACGCACAGGCAGCUGCGAAGCAUCUGACGGAGCAGGCGGUGAACAGGAAGAGCAAAGACGACAUCUCCUGCGUCGUCGUAAACUUCCACUGCUAG
rnacentral:rRNA from 1 species